rfam:Strigamia maritima strain Brora ctg7180001232103, whole genome shotgun sequence.
GGACACAGCUCAGAUGGUAGAGUGCUCGCUUAGAAUGCGAGAGGUCCAGGGAUCGACACCCUGUAUCUCCA